AACCUGCCCCGGAGCGGGGGAUAACAUUUGGAAACAGAUGCUAAUACCGCAUAACAACAAAAGCCACAUGGCUUUUGUUUGAAAGAUGGCUUUGGCUAUCACUCUGGGAUGGACCUGCGGUGCAUUAGCUAGUUGGUAAGGUAACGGCUUACCAAGGCGAUGAUGCAUAGCCGAGUUGAGAGACUGAUCGGCCACAAUGGAACUGAGACACGGUCCAUACUCCUACGGGAGGCAGCAGUAGGGAAUCUUCCACAAUGGGCGCAAGCCUGAUGGAGCAACACCGCGUGAGUGAAGAAGGGUUUCGGCUCGUAAAGCUCUGUUGUUGGAGAAGAACGUGCGUGAGAGUAACUGUUCACGCAGUGACGGUAUCCAACCAGAAAGUCACGGCUAACUACGUGCCAGCAGCCGCGGUAAUACGUAGGUGGCAAGCGUUAUCCGGAUUUAUUGGGCGUAAAGCGAGCGCAGGCGGUUGCUUAGGUCUGAUGUGAAAGCCUUCGGCUUAACCGAAGAAGUGCAUCGGAAACCGGGCGACUUGAGUGCAGAAGAGGACAGUGGAACUCCAUGUGUAGCGGUGGAAUGCGUAGAUAUAUGGAAGAACACCAGUGGCGAAGGCGGCUGUCUGGUCUGCAACUGACGCUGAGGCUCGAAAGCAUGGGUAGCGAACAGGAUUAGAUACCCUGGUAGUCCAUGCCGUAAACGAUGAGUGCUAGGUGUUGGAGGGUUUCCGCCCUUCAGUGCCGGAGCUAACGCAUUAAGCACUCCGCCUGGGGAGUACGACCGCAAGGUUGAAACUCAAAGGAAUUGACGGGGGCCCGCACAAGCGGUGGAGCAUGUGGUUUAAUUCGAAGCUACGCGAAGAACCUUACCAGGUCUUGACAUCUUGCGCUAACCUUAGAGAUAAGGCGUUCCCUUCGGGGACGCAAUGACAGGUGGUGCAUGGUCGUCGUCAGCUCGUGUCGUGAGAUGUUGGGUUAAGUCCCGCAACGAGCGCAACCCUUGUUACUAGUUGCCAGCAUUAAGUUGGGCACUCUAGUGAGACUGCCGGUGACAAACCGGAGGAAGGUGGGGACGACGUCAGAUCAUCAUGCCCCUUAUGACCUGGGCUACACACGUGCUACAAUGGACGGUACAACGAGUCGCAAGCUCGCGAGAGUAAGCUAAUCUCUUAAAGCCGUUCUCA
rnacentral:rRNA from 2 species